GGCGGCGGUAAGAGCGAGGAGGAAACACCCGUUCCCAUCCCGAACACGGUCGUUAAGCUCCUCUGCGCCGAUGGUACUGCGCGGGAAGCUGCGUGGGAGAGUAGGGCAUCGCCGCCC
rfam:Syntrophobacter fumaroxidans MPOB, complete genome.